CUUCGACGAGUCGAGUUGUUUGGGAAUGCAGCUCAAAAUGGGUGGUAAAUUUCAUCUAAAGCUAAAUACCGGCCAGAGACCGAUAGCGCACAAGUAGAGUGAUCGAAAGAUGAAAAGCACUUUGGAAAGAGAGUCAAACAGUACGUGAAAUUGUUGAAAGGGAAGCGCUUGCAACCAGACCUGUCCGCGGGCGUUCCACCUCCGUUCUCGGGGGCCCACUCGCCCGCGAUCAGGCCAGCAUCGGUUCGGGCGGCCGGAUAAAGGCCUUGGGAAUGUAGCUCCCCUCGGGGAGAACUUAUAGCCCUCGGUGCAAUGCGGCCAGCCCGGACCGAGGACCGCGCUUCGGCUAGGAUGCUGGCGUAAUGGUUGUAAGCGACCCGUCUUGAAACACGGACCAAGGAGUUAAUUAUCUAUGCGAGUGUUUGGGUGUCAAACCCAUGCGCGUAAUGAAAGUGAACGGAGGUGAGAACCCUUGAGGGCGCAUCAUCGACCGAUCCUGAUGUCUUCGGAUGGAUUUGAGUACGAGCAUAGCUAAUUUGACCCGAAAGAUGGUGAACUAUACUUGAAUAGGGUGAAGCCAGAGGAAACUCUGGUGGAGGCUCGCAGCGGUUCUGACGUGCAAAUCGAUCGUCAAAUUUGGGUAUAGGGGCGCGCUUUCGCCUCUCACAGCCCGGCUCCCUAACACGGAUCCGGGUCCUAGUCCUUCUGGGGCGAGGUUUACGUUCUGCGGGGAUGUUCAGGCCAGCUGGACUGCCCGCACCUACCCAAUGAGUAGGUCACAGAUCAAGCGUACGCCGGCGAUCUCCCUACCGGAGGAUCGCUUUAGAUAUGAUCGGGCUCUGGCUGCGAAAGCUAGGGAUCACCGGAAAGACUAAUCGAACCAUCUAAAGUUCCACCUACUGGAUGGUGGCGACGGGCACCUUUCGCGGGCCCGAGACAGUUCCUUCGGGGGCCACAUUGCCAGUCUUUCGGGUAUGCCUUUGGCUACCCGCAGCGGGCUCCUUCCGGGGGCCCGUCCACAGACUAGACGGCGAUGGCCACGCCUGCGGGCGCGGUUGGGAGAUAGUCGAUUCCCCUGGGGAGCCAGGGCGUGACAAGAGUAGCUGGUUCCUGCCGAAGUUUCCCUCAGGAUAGCAGUAACGUUUUCAGUUUUAUGAGGUAAAGCGAAUGAUUAGAGGCCUUGGGGUUGAAACAACCUUAACCUAUUCUCAAACUUUAAAUAUGUAAGAAGUCCUUGUUACUUAG
rnacentral:rRNA from 1 species